CUUUGCAUGCGGCGUGCUUGAGGCGUUACAACACGCACACAAUGCUUGCACAAUUCUUUUAUGCGAGCAUGACUCCCUUUCACGUGAGCGCAUCCAGCCUGCAUAUGUCACAUGUGCGCGAGACGUGCUUCAUGCAUGCACUUUGCCUGCGCGUGUGCAGUGGGCUGUUGGCAUGUGUGCACUGCUUUGUAUGUGAUACGUCCCCGCAUGUGCAGGUCUUCCUCU
rnacentral:lncRNA from 1 species